CGGGUGAGUAGUGUAUAGGAACUUGCCUAGUAGUGGGGGAUAACGUGUGGAAACGCACGCUAAUACCGCAUACGCUCUACGGAGGAAAGCGGGGGAUCUUCGGACCUCGUGCUACUAGAUGGGCCUAUAUCAGAUUAGCUAGUUGGUAAGGUAAUGGCUUACCAAGGCGACGAUCUGUAGCUGGUUUGAGAGAAUGAUCAGCCACACUGGGACUGAGACACGGCCCAG
rnacentral:rRNA from 1 species